AAAAAUAUAAAAAAAAUUAGGGUUUCGAAACGAAAGCUAAAAUCCCAAAUUUCGCCUUCACAUCUUUUUAUCUCUUUCUUCGUAUUACUUUCGUUCGCAAGGUUCUGGGGCUCAUUGUUAUCUAGUUCUUGAUUUGUUAUCGGCUUUAUUAGACAAAAACCAUGUCGGGUAAAGAAGAAAAAGGUGGUGCACAGGAUGCAGCCGAAAGAAUCAAGGCCGCCACCCUGUCAGCUGCUAAGGGUCUUAGCCGUUCUCAAGCUGAACGUGCGGCAGCUGCCGCCGCUCGAAAUGUAAAUGCUUAUGGUCAAAAAGAAGAAGGUCCAAGCAGAUGGCAAGAAAGGAAAGAAGCAAAACGACAAAUGUAUCUGAUGAGUACAGAAAAACAAGUGAGGCUAGGUGAAAGGAAAGACCAAAAAGCUUCAAUGUCAACAGCCACCCAUUGUCAAAAGUGUUUUCAAUCUGGGCAUUGGACAUAUGAGUGUAAAAACGAACGGGUUUACAUUUCCCGGCCCUCACGAACACAGCAACUGAAAAAUCCAAAAUUGAGAACGCGGGGUUUGGUUUCAUAUGAUUUAGAUAAUCCAGAUACUGAGAAAGAGAUGAAAGUUGAUAAUAGUGUUAAGAAGAAACACAGUAGUAAAGGUAAGAAUAACAAACGAAAGCAUAGGUCUAGGUCGGAAUCAGAUUCUGGUAGUGAUAGUGAGGCUUCAGUGUUUGAAUCUGGUAGUGAAUCGGGAUCAGAAUCUGGGUCGGGUUCUUCUUCAGCAGAGAGUGAUUCCAGUUACACUUCAGAUUCUGAUUCAGAGGAAGACAGGAAAAAGAGAAGUAAGAACAAGAAGAAGAGGGUGAAAGAGCAGAGGAAAAAGAAACACCGUAGACAUAGUUCGACUUCUGAGUCGGAAUCAGAAUCGGAGUUAUCAGAGUCGGAAUCUGAUUCCGAUGACAGCAGAAGCCGGAGGAAGGGGAAAAGGCAUAGUAGAAGGCGUUGAAGAAAUUCUUACUGCUAUGGAAUCAGAUGCAAAUUCAGGUGGAUGAAGCAUCCAAUAUCUUGUAUUGCUAUCAGUAUGGGAAUUAAGGAUAUCUUAUGUAUAUUGUUUGAUGGGAUCCAUAUCUGUUUUAUGUUUUACUAGCAAACCGAUGCUCGAGUUACAUGGUAUGAAAGUCUAUAAGAAUUAGUUAGAAAUAAAAAAGACCUACGAGUCAACCAAGGCCUGAAUGGGCUCAAGUCCAACUUUUUAAUGUCAAAGGUUAUCAUAAAGAUCUUUUCAAGUACAUGUUUGAGGAGCAAAACUGGUUAUUCUGUUCA